rnacentral:rRNA from 1 species
UACGUAGGGGCAAGCGUUGUCCGGAAUCAUUGGGCGUAAAGAGCGUGUAGGCGGCUCGAUAAGUCUGCUGUGAAAGUCCAGGCUCAACCCUGGAAGGCCGGUGGAAACUGUCGGGCUAGAGUCCGGAAGAGGCGAGUGGAAUUCCCGGUGUAGCGGUGAAAUGCGCAGAUAUCGGGAGGAACACCAAUGGCGAAGGCAGCUCGCUGGGACGGUACUGACGCUGAGACGCGAAAGCGUGGGAGCAACGGG